rnacentral:rRNA from 1 species
AGACCCGAAACCCGGUGAUCUAGCCAUGGGCAGGUUGAAGGUUGGGUAACACUAACUGGAGGACCGAACCGACUAAUGUUGAAAAAUUAGCGGAUGACCUGUGGCUGGGGGUGAAAGGCCAAUCAAACCGGGAGAUAGCUGGUUCUCCCCGAAAGCUAUUUAGGUAGCGCCUCGUGAAUUCAUCUCCGGGGGUAGAGCACUGUUUCGGCUAGGGGGCCAUCCCGGCUUACCAACCCGAUGCAAACUGCGAAUACCGGAGAAUGUUAUCACGGGAGACACACGGCGGGUGCUAACGUCCGUCGUGAAGAGGGAAACAACCCAGACCGCCAGCUAAGGUCCCAAAGUCAUGGUUAAGUGGGAAACGAUGUGGGAAGGCCCAGACAGCCAGGAUGUUGGCUUAGAAGCAGCCAUCAUUUAAAGAAAGCGUAAUAGCUCACUGGUCGAGUCGGCCUGCGCGGAAGAUGUAACGGGGCUAAACCAUGCACCGAAGCUGCGGCAGCGACGCUGAUGCGUUGUUGGGUAGGGGAGCGUUCUGUAAGCCUGCGAAGGUGGCCUGUGAGGGUUGCUGGAGGUAUCAGAAGUGCGAAUGCUGACAUAAGUAACGAUAAAGCGGGUGAAAAGCCCGC